rnacentral:misc_RNA from 1 species
GAUGAAGAACGUAGCGAAAUGCGAUACGUAAUGUGAAUUGCAAAUUCAGUGAAUCAUCGAGUCUUUGAACGCACAUUGCGCCCCCUGGUAUUCCGGGGGGCAUGCCUGUCCGAGCGUCAUUGCUGCCCUCAAGCACGGCUUGUGUGUUGGGCCCCGUCCUCCGAUCCCGGGGGACGGGCCCGAAAGGCAGCGGCGGCACCGCGUCCGGUCCUCGAGCGUAUGGGGCUUUGUCAUCCGCUCUGUAGGCCCGGCCGGCGCUUGCCGAUCAACCCAAAUUUUUUAUCCAGGUUGACCUCGGAUCAGGUAGGGAUACCCGCUGAACUUAAGCAUAUCAAUAAGCGGAGGA